AAUAUUGCACAAUGGAGGGAACUCUGAUGCAGCAACGCCGCGUGAGUGAAGAAGGUUUUCGGAUCGUAAACCUUUGUCAUCGAGGACGAUAAUGACGGUACUCGAGGAGGAAGCCCCGGCUAACUACGUGCCAGCAGCCGCGGUAACACGUAGGGGGCGAGCGUUGUCCGGAAUUACUGGGCGUAAAGGGCGCGUAGGCGGCCUAAUAAGUCAGAUGUGAAACCCCCGGGCUUAACCCUGGGCUUGCAUUUGAAACUGUUGGGCUUGAGGACAGGAGAGGAAAGCGGAAUUCCCAGUGUAGCGGUGAAAUGCGUAGAUAUUGGGAGGAACACCAGUGGCGAAGGCGGCUUUCUGGACUGUAACUGACGCUGAGGCGCGAAAGCCAGGGUAGCGAACG
rnacentral:rRNA from 1 species